AGGGAAAAGCUCAAAUUUAAAAUCUGGCAGCUUYGCUGUCCGAGUUGUAAUUUAGAGAAGUGUUACCCGCGUUGGACCGUGUAUAAGUCUCCUGGAAUGGAGCGUCAUAGAGGGUGAGAAUCCCGUCUUUGACACGGACUACCAGGGCAUUGUGGUGCGCUCUCGAAGAGUCGAGUUGUUUGGGAAUGCAGCUCUAAAUGGGUGGUAAAUUCCAUCUAAAGCUAAAUAUUGGCGAGAGACCGAUAGCGAACAAGUACCGUGAGGGAAAGAUGAAAAGAACUUUGGAAAGAGAGUUAAACAGUACGUGAAAUUGCUGAAAGGGAAACGCUUGAAGUCAGUCGCGUUGGCCGGGGAUCAGCCUUGCUUUUUGUGAGGUGUACUUCCUGGUUGACGGGUCAGCAUCAGUUUCGACCACUGGAGAAAGGCAUUGGGAAUGUGGCACCUUCGGGUGUGUUAUAGCCCUUUGUUGUAUACAGUGGUUGGGACUGAGGAACUCAGCACGCCGCAAGGCCGGGUUUCSACCACGUUCGUGCUUAGGAUGCUGGCAAAAUGGCUUUAAGCGACCCGUCUUGAAACACGGACCAAGGAGUCUAACAUGCCUGCGAGUGUUUGGGUGGAAAACCCGAGCGCGUAAUGAAAGUGAAAGUUGGGAUCUCUGUCGUGGAGAGCACCGACGCCCGGACCUGAUGUUUACUGACGGAUCUGCGGUAGAGCAUGUAUGUUGGGACCCGAAAGAUGGUGAACUAUGCCUGAAUAGGGUGAAGCCAGAGGAAACUCUGGUCGAGGCUCGUAGC
rnacentral:rRNA from 1 species